rnacentral:rRNA from 1 species
UACGAAGGGGGCUAGCGUUGUUCGGAAUCACUGGGCGUAAAGGGCGCGUAGGCGGCUUUAUAAGUCGGAUGUGAAAGCCCCGGGCUCAACCCGGGAAGUGCACUCGAUACUGCAGAGCUUGAGUGUCGGAGAGGUUGGUGGAAUUCUCGGUGUAGAGGUGAAAUUCGUAGAUAUCGAGAGGAACACCGGCGGCGAAGGCGGCCAACUGGACGAACACUGACGCUGAGACACGAAAGCGUGGGGAGCAAACAGG